rnacentral:rRNA from 1 species
AUUGAACGCUGGCGGCAGGCCUAACACAUGCAAGUCGAGCGGAGCGGCGGACGGGUGGGUGAUGCCUAGGUAUCUGCCUGGUAGUGGGGGAUAACGUCCGGAAACGGGCGCUAAUACCGCCUACUAUCCGUUGGGUCAAGGUCGGAUUAGCUAGUUGGUGGGGUAAAGGCUUACCAAGGGGCCGGUCCCUCACUGGUCUGAGAGGAUGAUCAGUCACACUGGAACUGAGACACGGUCCAGACUCCUACGGGAGGCAGCAGUGGGGAAUAUUGGACAAUGGGCGAAAGCCUGAUCCAGCCAUGCCGCGUGUGUGAAGAAGGUCUUCGGAUUGUAAAGCACUUUAAGUUGGGAGGCGUUACCAACAGAAGAAGCACCGGCUAACUUCGUGCCAGCAGCCGCGGUAAUUC